AUUGAACGCUGGCGGCAGGCCUAACACAUGCAAGUCGAGCGGAGCGGCGGACGCGUGAGUGAUGCCUAGGAAUCGGCCUGGUAGUGGGGGAUAACGUCCGGAACCGGGCGCUAAUACCGCAUCCUAUCAGAUGCGCCUCGGUCGGAUUAGCUAGUUGGUGGGGUAAAGGCCUACCAAGGCGACGAUCCGUAACUGGUCUGAGAGGAUGAUCAGCCACACUGGAACUGAGACACGGUCCAGACUCCUACGGGAGGCAGCAGUGGGGAAUAGUGGACAAUGGGGGAAAGCCUGAUACAGCCAGGCCGCGUGUGUGAAGAAGGCCUUCGGAUUGUAAAGUACUUUAAGGGGGGGGGCGUUACCAGCAGAAGAAGCACCGGCUAACUUCGUGCCAGCAGCCGCGGUAAUUC
rnacentral:rRNA from 1 species